rnacentral:rRNA from 1 species
UAGGGAAUCUUCCGCAAUGGGCGAAAGCUUGACGGAGCAACGCCGCGUGAGUGAUGAAGGUCUUCGGAUCGUAAAACUCUGUUAUUAGGGAAGAACAAAUGUGUAAGUAACUAUGCACGUCUUGACGGUACCUAAUCAGAAAGCCACGGCUAACUACGUGCCAGCAGCCGCGGUAAUACGUAGGUGGCAAGCGUUAUCCGGAAUUAUUGGGCGUAAAGCGCGCGUAGGCGGUUUUUUAAGUCUGAUGUGAAAGCCCACGGCUCAACCGUGGAGGGUAAUUGGAAACUGGAAAACUUGAGUGCAGAAGAGGAAAGUGGAAUUCCAUGGGUAGCGGUGAAAUGCGCAGAGAUAUGGAGGAACACCAGUGGCGAAGGCGACUUUCUGGUCUGUAACUGACGCUGAUGUGCGAAAGCGUGGGGAUCAAACAGG